GAGGGGAGUUCUGAAGGGCGACCCUAAAGAUGGAGAGCAGGAGAUGAAGACUCACCACCCCCUCAACAUCAAACCCCCGCUAACGAAACCGGAAUCCUCCUCGGCCUGGGCAUCCCGCCCCUGCUCGGUGCCCCGCUUCUCUUCCCCCCUGUGCUCCCCCGUUAGGGUCUGGUAGCCGAGACAGCUGGAUGUCCAGCGCCAGACCCUUCCCCCCAGAAACCUGGCCCCUGUUUUACAAGGCAAUCAAGAGGCCUGUCCUUACAAGACCCAGAACUAUUGAAGAUGACUCCAUUUUCUCCACAGUGGAAGAAGAAGGAAAAAAGUCAAACAUUCAUCUAUUGAUGAUAGUACCAACAAAAUCCUGGGGACCAUCGUCCAUAAAGCCCAAAUGGUCAGAACCAGUCUUCCCUGUUGCACCGGAUCCUGAAGAAGGACCAACAGAAGAGGUGGAACCCAAGGCCUUAAAUGAUGCUGGGCUGAUGGUGCAAGGACUCCACUGUGAAGUUGGCCCAAGCCCCAAGAAAACUCCUAAGAAUAAAACUUUUAAGGAUCCCAAAGAUGGCUCCCAAGCCCAAGGACCCACCAGAGGAAAUUAGUCAAGUCCUAGAAAUAUUUGAGAAGAACAAGGAAAGCCUUUAAGAAACUUCAAGGAUGACUGAGGGAAACGGGGCAGCUAUCUCCAUUUUACAGAUAAGAAAACUAAGGCCCAAGAUCACAGAGCAAGUUAGGUGGCGGGGACUCUUGAAUCCUGACCCACCCUUCCAUCCCAUCCUACAACCCUAGGGAUUUCCUUACUGUGUGACUUUAUCUGCCAAAAACCUACUUUGUCCAUCCUUCACCAGAAGUGCCCAAGACCAACUGAGGACAGCCUCCACCAGACUGUCCAGAAAAAGACUAUGGAGGCUAAGGGCACGUGCCUUUUCCCCAAAUGUGCAGUCUGGGCAAAUGGUCCUGUUGUGAAGCCUAGUUUACAGCCACGAAAACUCCUUCAUUCCUAAGCUACUAUAUUUACAAAGCCCCUCCCCAGGACCCAAGGCCCCCCCGGACCUCUCCGUACCUCUCCGUACCUGCGCAAGCCACUUAACCACCAGGUGGCACUAACUGGCCGCUUGCUCCGAGGGAAGUGAGGAGGAGGUCCCUGAAGUCCAUGAGUGGGAGGGCCACCCUGGCCCUCCUAGGAAUCCUUUGUCCUCCCUUAGGCCCUGGUUGGGACCAGCUUUGAGGAUGGGUCCUAAAUUUUCAAGGAAUAAUAAUAAGAAUAAACAUGAGGCCCAGGCCAAUGCAAUCUGUCUCUUGAGCUUGUCCUCCUAAAACACACAAGCUAAGCAGCCCAGCUUGCUCUUGGAGCCACCAUCCCAUGGCUUGGAAAUUGUUACCCAGAAUUUGGCAGGAAUAAUGCCAAAUAUUUGUACAGGGAAUUUACAGUUUUCAAAGCACUUCCAAGCCCAUUUUCUCAUUAGAUCAUUUGAUCAUUGACUUCAUGUGGAGCAAGUUUAAUUGACCCCAUCUUAAAGAUGGGGAAACUGAGGCUCAAAGAUUAAAUAAGUUGCCCAAACUCAAUAACAAAGUGAAAAUAGAAGUAGGACCCAUGUCUCCUGACUUCUAAUAGAAGACUCUCCAAUACUGGGUGCCUCAUUUAAUAAUCCCAGGCAGAAAACCAAGUCAUAGAGUCAGAGACCUGGUUUCCAAUCCCCCUCCUAACUUUUGAGGUUUACCAUCUGUGUGAACUUGGACAAAUCACCGGAUUUCCCUAGGUCCCAGUUUCCUUACAUGGACUCUAAUGUCCUUACUAAAUUUAAAUGUAUCUCCUACCCCACCCUGCACAGUCCUGGGCAAGAUGGAUGGGAGAAACAUUCAUUUCAUUAUAGUCUGUCACAGUCCCAGAAAGCCUAUUCUUAAACUCUUCCCUCCUCUUUGGAGUCAGAGGGUCUUCACAGGCUUCUAGUUUACAAUUUAAAUGCAAAUACCCUUUGGACAGGGAUUUCCCUCCCAUCAAUAAAACCAGGGUUAAGUCAAGGAUGGAAAAGUUGGGGGGGGGGGGGCGGGGAGAAGGAGUGAGGAACUUAAGCAUAAUCAAAGCUCCAUAAGGACAUUAACAUUCAUUUUAGUCUUCAUGUCCCCAACAACUUAUUACCUAGGAGGUGCUUAUCCCUAGGAGGUGCUUAUCCAGGCUGCUUGAUUUGUUUGUUUCAAAUGUCGCUCACAUAUAUAUGGACUUUGUUUCCCUCUGAAUAAAACUCCAUAAGGGCAGUAAUUUUCUUUUUUGUCUUUGUAUCCCCAUUGCUUGG
rnacentral:lncRNA from 1 species